GAUGAACGCUGGCGGCGUGCCUAAUACAUGCAAGUCGAGCGAACAGACGAGGAGCUUGCUCCUCUGACGUUAGCGGCGGGCGGGUGAGUAACACGUGGAUAACCUACCUAUAAGACUGGGAUAACUUCGGGAAACCGGAGCUAAUACCGGAUAAUAUAUUGAACCGCAUGGUUCAAUAGUGAAAGACGGUUUUGCUGUCACUUAUAGCUGGAUCCGCGCCGCAUUAGCUAGUUGGUAAGGUAACGGCUUACCAAGGCAACGAUGCGUAGCCGACCUGAGAGGGUGAUCGGCCACACUGGAACUGAGACACGGUCCAGACUCCUACGGGAGGCAGCAGUAGGGAAUCUUCCGCAAUGGGCGAAAGCCUGACGGAGCAACGCCGCGUGAGUGAUGAAGGUCUUCGGAUCGUAAAACUCUGUUAUUAGGGAAGAACAAAUGUGUAAGUAACUAUGCACGUCUUGACGGUACCUAAUCAGAAAGCCACGGCUAACUACGUG
rnacentral:rRNA from 1 species